ACCCGCUGAACUUAAGCAUAUCAAUAAGCGGAGGAAAAGAAACCAACAGGGAUUGCCUUAGUAACGGCGAGUGAAGCGGCAACAGCUCAAAUUUGAAAUCUGGCCUCUUUGGGGUCCGAGUUGUAAUUUGCAGAGGGCGCUUUGGCGUUGGCAGCGGUCCAAGUUCCUUGGAACAGGACGUCACAGAGGGUGAGAAUCCCGUACGUGGUCGCUAGCCUUCGCCGUGUAAAGCCCCUUCGACGAGUCGAGUUGUUUGGGAAUGCAGCUCUAAAUGGGAGGUAAAUUUCUUCUAAAGCUAAAUACUGGCCAGAGACCGAUAGCGCACAAGUAGAGUGAUCGAAAGAUGAAAAGCACUUUGGAAAGAGAGUCAAACAGCACGUGAAAUUGUUGAAAGGGAAGCGCUUGCAGCCAGACUUGCCUGUAGUUGCUCAUCCGGGCUUUUGCCCGGUGCACUCUUCUGCGGGCAGGCCAGCAUCAGUUUGGGCGGUUGGAUAAAGGUCUCUGUCAUGUACCUCUCUUCGGGGAGGCCUUAUAGGGGAGACGUCAUGCAACCAGCCUGGACUGAGGUCCGCGCAUUUGCUAGGAUGCUGGCGUAAUGGCUGU
rnacentral:rRNA from 1 species